ACGGGCCGCAGCAGGCGCGAAAACUUUACAAUGCAGGAAACUGUGAUAAGGGAACCCCGAGUGCCCGUAAACGCGGGCUGUUUAGGUGUUUAAAAAGCACUUCGAGAAAGGGCCGGGCAAGACCGGUGCCAGCCGCCGCGGUAAUACCGGCGGCUCGAGUGGUGACCACUUUUAUUGGGCUUAAAGCGUUCGUAGCUGGAUUGUUAAGUCCCUUGGGAAAUCUAACGGCUUAACCGUUAGGCGUCUAAGAGAUACUGGCAAUCUAGGGACCGGAAGAGGUGAGAGGUACUCCAGGGGUAGGAGUGAAAUCCUGUAAUCCCUGGGGGACCACCUGUGGCGAAGGCGUCUCACCAGGACGGCUCCGACAGUGAGGGACGAAAGCUGGGGGAGCAAACCGGAUUAGAUACCCGGGUAGUCCCAGCCGUAAACGAUGCGCGUUAGGUGUAUCGGUGAC
rnacentral:rRNA from 1 species